rnacentral:sRNA from 1 species
ACAUGAUUAGGUAUUGCCAAUUUAGU